rnacentral:lncRNA from 1 species
AUGCCUGUGAGGCCUGAGCUAGAGCAUUGCGGUGAGAAAAGCGAUGCCCGAAGGCAAGCCAUUCUUUAUCCACCAAUGUUCGAAAGCCUUCCAAGGUGCGAUAAUGUGGAUCCAGGCACAGCUGGGCUAGAGAGGAGAUCUGACAGGUUAUGUCCCAACCUGAAAAAUAAAAAUACAACCCAAUUUCAAAAAAUAAGAAAAAAAAAGAAGAAAUCAAAAAUCUUUCCUACCCCAACAAUAGCAGCGAGUAAUAAUAAAAAAGGUUUCCAGCCUUUGUUUGACCACCAUACUGCAGCAUGA